UCCGAGUUGACCCCGGCAGUCUUCGAUGAGUCCCCGCCAUAACGCGCUGGCAACAUCGAACGAGGGUUGCGCUCGUUGCGGGACUUAACCCAACAUCUCACGACACGAGCUGACGACAACCAUGCACCACCUGUAUACCGCCCUUGCGGACCCCAUGUCUCCAUGAGUUUCCUGCGUAGUUCAACCCAGGUAAGGUUCUUCGCGUUGCAUCGAAUUAAGCAACAUGCUCCGCCGCUUGUGCGGGCCCCCGUCAAUUCCUUUGAGUUUUAGCCUUGCGGCCGUACUCCCCAGGCGGGGCACUUAAUGCGUUAGCUACGGCACGGAGACCGUCGAUAGGUCCCCACACCUAGUGCCCAACGUUUACGGCGUGGACUAC
rnacentral:misc_RNA from 1 species